rnacentral:lncRNA from 1 species
CGCCCUGCGCCCGCUCUCAGGAUCCCUCUCAGCUCUCCAGCUUGCUAAGUCCCCAGGAGAGAGCCAAGCAACGCUUUUGGGAAGGCCUGGAUUUGAAUGGGACUCUAGUGCCCGGGGAGUUGUUUCAUCUGAACGAGGUGACACGCCCACCCGCUGCCCCCGACCCGCCCGCGCCGCCGUGCCCGGGUGGGCAAGGUGAGAGGCGGGGCUCCGGGAAACAUCACCUGGAGGCGGCCAGGGGCGGACUUUCCCAGAGGAGCCCGACUCCGAGGAGGCGACACAAACGAAUUAAUUGCUUCCAUCAACGCCGCGUUUCAAUCCACCCCAAGCACUCCCUCUCCGAGUACUCAGCCCGCCGGGAUCUUCAGAAAAGAGGUUCACCAGAAACUCUUUUUUUCUCCUUCCCACCGGGACAGCGUCCGGUUCCCGCGCUCCUCCUCCCCCACCUGCUCGCCCGGUCGCUCCCCUGCCCCCACCCGGUCUCAGCGGCCAGUAUGCCGUGCCCAGGGACCCCUCACCUGGGCCGGCGGUGGUAGGCUGCCUGCAACGCCC